UGGGGGAUAUUGCACAAUGGGCGAAAGCCUGAUGCAGCGACGCCGCGUGGGGGAUGAAGGCUUUCGGGUUGUAAACCUCUUUCGCUAUCGAACAAGGCCCGCUUAGGGUGGGUUGAGGGUAGGUAGAGAAGAAGCGCCGGCUAACUACGUGCCAGCAGCCGCGGUAAUACGUAGGGCGCGAGCGCUGUCCGGAAUUAUUGGGCGUAAAGGGCUUGUAGGCGGCUUGUUGCGCCUGCUGUGAAAACGCGGGGCUUAACUUCGCGCGUGCAGUGGGUACGGGCAGGCUUGAGUGUGGUAGGGGUGACUGGAAUUCCAGGUGUAGCGGUGGAAUGCGCAGAUAUCUGGAGGAACACCGAUGGCGAAGGCAGGUCACUGGGCCAUUACUGACGCUGAGGAGCGAAAGCAUGGGUAGCGAACAGG
rnacentral:rRNA from 1 species